CCGACCUUAGCUUAGUUGGAAGAGUGGUGGAUUGUAGUUGGAUUAAUCUAAAUUGGAAAUCCUUAGGUCGUUGGUUCGAUUCCGGCAGGUUGGA
rfam:Ipomoea nil DNA, scaffold: scaffold2701, cultivar: Tokyo-kokei standard.